rnacentral:rRNA from 1 species
UACGAAGGGGGCUAGCGUUGUUCGGAAUCACUGGGCGUAAAGCGCACGUAGGCGGCUUUUUAAGUCAGGGGUGAAAUCCUGGAGCUCAACUCCAGAACUGCCUUUGAUACUGAGAGGCUUGAGUCCGGGAGAGGUGAGUGGAACUGCGAGUGUAGAGGUGAAAUCCGUAGAUAUUCGCAAGAACACCAGUGGCGAAGGCGGCUCACUGGCCCGGUACUGACGCUGAGGUGCGAAAGCGUGGGGAGCAAACAGG